UGAGGAAUAUUGGUCAAUGGGCGGAAGCCUGAACCAGCCAAGUAGCGUGAAGGAUGACUGCCCUAUGGGUUGUAAACUUCUUUUAUAGGGGAAUAAAAUGAGCCACGUGUGGCUUUUUGUAUGUACCCUAUGAAUAAGGAUCGGCUAACUCCGUGCCAGCAGCCGCGGUAAUACGGAGGAUCCGAGCGUUAUCCGGAUUUAUUGGGUUUAAAGGGAGCGUAGGUGGACAUGUAAGUCAGUUGUGAAAGUUUGCGGCUCAACCGUAAAAUUGCAGUUGAUACUGUGUGUCUUGAGUACAGUAGAGGUGGGCGGAAUUCGUGGUGUAGCGGUGAAAUGCUUAGAUAUCACGAAGAACUCCGAUUGCGAAGGCAGCUCACUGGACUGUUACUGACACUGAGGCUCGAAAGUGUGGGUAUCAAACA
rnacentral:rRNA from 1 species